CUUGAAUAAGCAUAAGAGGUCCAGCCUGCCCAGUGACCAUGUUCAACGGCCGCGGUAUCCUAACCGUGCGAAGGUAGCGUAAUCACUUGUUCUUUAAAUAAGGACUAGUAUGAACGGCAUCACGAAGGUUACACUGUCUCCUCUUUCUAAUCAGUGAAACUAAUCUCCUCGUGAAGAAACGAGGAUAAACAUAUAAGACGAGAAGACCCUAUGGAGCUUCAAACUAUAAAGCACCUGCCCCAGUAUUACUUAAUUCCAGAAAACCACACCUACCCAGGCAAGAUGACCUUUAGUUUUAGGUUGGGGUGACCGCGGAGCAAAAAAAAACCUCCACAUUGAAAAGAGCCAACUCCUUAGCCAAGAGCCACACCUCUAAGCACCAACAAAAAGACAUCAAUUGACCCAAUAUUUUUGAUCAACGAAC
rnacentral:rRNA from 1 species